UACGAAAGGUGCAAGCGUUAAUCGGAAUUACUGGGCGUAAAGCGCGCGUAGGCGGUGUGUUAAGUCGGAUGUGAAAGCCCAGGGCUCAACCUUGGAAUUGCAUCCGAUACUGGCACGCUAGAGUGCAGUAGAGGGAGGUGGAAUUUCCGGUGUAGCGGUGAAAUGCGUAGAGAUCGGAAGGAACACCAGUGGCGAAGGCGGCCUCCUGGACUGACACUGACGCUGAGGUGCGAAAGCGUGGGGAGCAAACAGGAUUAGAUACCCGUGUAGUCC
rnacentral:rRNA from 1 species